rnacentral:lncRNA from 1 species
CUUUGAACGGGGUACUCGAGCCCACAGGGGAAGAGCAGCGGAAGGGGCCUUUCGGAACGAUUUGGAACGAAAGGAAGUGGAAGAAACGCGGAACCAUGGCCGCUGUGGUUGCUGUUUGCGGUGGUCUAGGGAGGAAGAAGUUGACACACUUGGUAACGGCUGCUGUCAGCCUUACACAUCCCGGGACUCACACGGUGCUUUGGAGAAGAGGUUGUUCACAACAGGUAUCCAGCAAUGAGGACCUGCUUUUGUCCCAGUUUGUUUCUCCAUUUACUGGAUGCAUUUAUGGAAGGCACAUUACAGGUCUUUGUGGGAAGAAACAGAAAGAAAUCACAAAAGCAAUUAAGAGAGCUCAAAUAAUGGGGUUUAUGCCAGUUACAUACAAGGAUCCUGCAUAUCUCAAGGACCCUAAAGUUUGUAACAUCAGAUAUCGGGAAUAAAUUCUAUCACGUUACCACUAAUAAACUUAUUUUACAGUAAGUGGUUGUAUGAUGCCAAUACUGACUCAAACCAACCUUUGGAUAGAAAAGUGUUUGAGGAGUGAGGUAAAGAAUGACACUUCCCCUUCAUACCAAUGUCCAUUAAGCAGAUUGCUUAUUUAAAAUGUUAACACUCAUCACAUUUUAUCUAUGUUGAAUAAAAGUGGUUCUGUGUGAUUGUCAUUUA